ACCCCAAAAACAAGGAGGUAAGAUUGGGAUCAAAAUUCCGAUACUCUGGCAGAACACAGUAUCAGAGCAGAAUGGCGGCAAAUCUAAGUGACAGAAACAACCCAGGAUUUGAAAGAUCUCUCAGUCGAAGGAAGUUGUCAUCUCGAUCAAUGGACGCAUACAGUAUAAUUGAGGGUUAGUGUAUG